rnacentral:rRNA from 1 species
CUGCUGCCUCCCGUAGGAGUCUGGUCCGUGUCUCAGUACCAGUGUGGGGGACCUUCCUCUCAGAACCCCUACGCAUCGUCGCCUCGGUGGGCCGUUACCCCGCCGACUAGCUAAUGCGCCGCAUGCCCAUCCGUAGCCGGAAUCGCUUCCUUUAAUCCCUCAGGAAUGCCCCCGAAAGAUAUUACGCGGUAUUAGACGGAAUUUCUUCCGCUUAUCCCCCUGCUACGGGCAGGUCGCAUACGUGUUACUCACCCGUGCGCCGGUCGCCGU